GUGGAGGAAGGAGCGCCGUCCGGAUCGGCACGAGACAAUUGCGAACCAUCCCAGUCGGGGGUCGGCAGGCUACUGCAACAACGAACGAUCUCGAGAUAUCGAGUUGUAGCACGAUAGAUGUCGUCCGCGAAGGAGAUUCUACAUAUCGACUUUAACGAAGAUAGAGUUACUACGAAUGCUACUCAUAAUCCAUAAUCCACUGACUGAUGAAGAAUGGCAUAUCCAGCCGCGAUAAUUCAACGAGGAUUGUGACGUCCUCGACGCUGAAGGGCAAAUGGCAAGAACCAGCGAGAAGUGAAAGCUGUGUUUGCGCAAAGAAGGAACAGCGAUGCGUUCAAGAUCCGAAUGAUUUUAUUUGAUAUUCCGACACGGCUCUUUUAAAUAUAUCCUUCGUUGAAAGAGAAGAAAGGAAAGAAGAAAAAGGAACGGCUCCAUUAGCGAUGAGCCUGCCAACGAUGUUGAUCGAGGAAAGAAGACGGUGUGAAACUGUGCGUCUAGUCGAACGGAAUCGAAAGAAACGAAACGGAUGGGAAGCGAAAUGAAACGAAGCGAAACGAACCGUAAUCAUCCGCGCAUUGAAGAAACUACGAGUGUUAGAAGAGAAAGGAUGGAAGAUCCGACAGUCCUCCGUGCGAGAAGUGAACCGCUUUUCUCAAGGAAGCGAGGAGAGUAAUACGACCGUCGCUUUACGACUCGAGAUUCGUUGUUCGUGAGAUACCGUCUCGUUAAUUGGAAACUACCGAGCGAAAGCUUCGUUAAUGGGCAACAAAUGAAAACUACGCUUAACGCGCUACCAUAGACGUAUACACAAAGUAGCCAAGUAUACGCUUGCUUACGAUUCGAUGCAGCUGCGGCUGCGCGAACAAACUUGACAUCAUAUAGGGCGCGCGCAAACCAAAUUUCCUUCUUUGAAACUUUCCUACGCGCCGAUCAACCGUUUCAGCGCACGGCUUUCUCGUUCGUAGAACACGCAAGAAAACGCCGUCGAUUAACCUUGGAUAGCUCUGUAUCGCAUUAUCUUUACGUAGUACCACGUCCGGACCUGAACUGUUGUUGCAUGUGACACCCUGAUAAAGUGUAUCGGUAAGGAAAAAUCAAGCGGCGAAACGUCCCCAGCGAAGCGGAUCGAUAUUCUGACUCGACUUGCACGCGUUUUAAUCGCGUCUAAGCUGUAACCUAAGCGGAAAUUUAAGCCAGAAUGGCUAGCGCGAAAAACGACCAACGCGCAUUUGCAAUCCCUCUCACCUGCGUCGCAGAACAAAAAUUUAAGCUUCGUGAUUUAAUGAUUCCUCGUGUUUCGAUUUUUUCCAAAAGCUCCGUCGCGCUUAUGGAUUGAAAAAAAAGAGGAAAACGGAUACGAGAAAGAGAAAACGUCGCGUUGCAGGAAUCGUUAAAGAGUAAACAAAGCUAGUGGUCUCUCGGUAAAGGCACAUCGAGCGGGAAGCAUCUAACGGGGCAACGUCACGGCGCGUUAAUCUUCUUCCGAUUUUGCCUAUUCUUCCCGUAUUUCUCCCAUCUUUCGCGACAACAACCGACCGCGAUCGUACGGAUUCUUUCCACGAUCGGCGAUUCGAGAAUCGUUCGAGAAAUCAGCAAAGACAAAUCUCUCGCGAGAUUGUUUUCGCUGUUUGUUCGACCGAUGCUAAUAUCUCUACCGCUUUCGUUUCGUGGCAAUCAACGAAAUUACACGCAUUGUAUUCGUGAACGGGAACAGGGACACGGUUUUUUCCACGAGUAUUGUUCCUCAUCUUAGAAUCUGUCGUGUACAUUUAUCUCCUGAAUGAUGCUCCCACCGUGUUUCUUGGCCAUUUCGAAUACACGGCCUUUUAAAAUUUCUGUUGCGUCGCGUCGCGCGAAAGGUCUUUGCGUUCGAAAGGAGGCCAUCGAUUCUUAAGCAGUCAGGAUGCAAAUUCGUACAACGUUCAUUUUUUUAACCGAUUUCGAAGUAAUUUCAUGGCUCCUGUUCUUUAAAAUCCUGUCAUCGUACGAAAAACUGGAAGCAAUACACUCCUAUUCGUCAAUAUAAGAAUUGAAAAUUUAUCGAUCCUACGAUUGCGAUAAAUACACAUUUCUCGACCAUUUUCUCAGUGUUAUUACAUUUACAUGUACAUAUAUACUUGCCUUAAUUAGAGUUAGCGGUAGCGUGGAAUAAACAGCAAACAACACGUAAAAGUCGAAUUGUACGAUAUUAUUCACUGUCGCGAGUAUUUCCGUGCGAUACGACUUCUCUCUUCCUAGAGAUCGACUGUUAUCGUACGCUGUGGCACACGCGCAAUUUCCCCGACGACUAGUUAAAUUUCAAAUGUCGAAUUCGCGAGACUAUAAUCGUACUUUUGGUAUGCGAACGUCUGCCACGAGAUUAAGCGUGGCAUUAGGCAACGAUUAAGGAUAAACGAAAAUCGGCUGACGAGAAAGCGAAUGAGAAAGUAGGUAUGGCAGCAGGAAGAACAAGAUAUAAAGUAAGGAUGAGAGAAGGAUCAAAAUGAGGGAGAGGAGGGAAAAUAGUUGCAAAAAUGGGAAAAGAGGAAAAAGAGAAAGGAGGAAAGAAGAGAAAAGGAGAAGAAGAAAACAAAGAGCGAAAUCGUCGAACUGCACGGUGCGUUUAGAUGGUAAGACGACUCAAAAGAGAGUGCGAUCCGCGCGGUCCUUAUCCUCGAACGCGACGCGAAAUCGGAACUGAGCGACGGUGGCGGCGGCGACGGCGGCCCUCGAAUCCCCACCCCUGUGAACACUGGUUAAAACCGUUCUCCUACCAUCGCUCGUCUUUCAUCUAUCUACCAACCUGCCUACUAUCUCUCCAUCCUUUUCACCUAACCAUGUGACGCAUAGCAUUGUCCCUUCCCCUACCUAUCUCAUCCUUGCCGCAUUCCUUUCAACGUAUUCCUUCUAUAUGAAUGUGUCAUGUGACGUUUCUUCUAAAGUUCCAACAAUUAGACGUAGCUGUUCAACAUUUCGCCACCUUUUUCCGCUAAAUGUUUGAAUCGUGAUAUAUCAUCCGAUUUUCUUCCUUCUGCGAUCCUUUAUCUCAAUACCUCGUAUCUUUACGCAUGUCAAUAUUAGCAACUAUUUGCUUUAGGGAAUACGUACUUGCUAUCAACAAUAAACACGAUCGUUGACAAUGCGUUGCUACGUGGAAGUAUAAUUUAAUCUAUGAUUCUAUUACAUUAACCGAUAAGCUAUUCGCUUAGUACUAUGUACAAAUAUUUGAAAGGUAAUUAAAAUUAUUUGUGAGGGGGCCAAGUCCACUGAUGCGGAGGAGCAUUUUCCAUCAAUUUUUCCCAUGGCUUGCGCUCAAGCAUAUCCUGUACCAAGUUCAGUUCGUUCUUCGCCUGAAUUAUUAGUUCCUCGACUUGUCCCUGGUUUAUCUUUUCCUCUAUAACAGGAAUGCUUUCAUUCUGCAACGUCAGAUAUGUACAUAUUAUAUCGGUAAUUCGAUUCGAAAUAAAAAUAUCGUCCAAAUAUCGUUUUCAUCUGAUCUAGUAUUUAAGAAUCCUUAAGUGAGAAAUAACCUGUAAUAUAAUAUCGUUCCUUUCCUUAACCAAACUUUCGACAGAUUUCCUGUAAAUAUAGUCUUGUGGCAACUGACUCACGAGCCG